ACGCUCGACACCUACGGGGGGCAGCAGUGGGGAAUAUUGGGCAAUGGGCGCAAGCCUGACCCAGCAACGCCGCGUGAAGGAAGAAGGCUUUCGGGUUGUAAACUUCUUUUGUCAGGGAACAGUAGAAGAGGGUACCCGACGAAUAAGCCACGGCUAACUACGUGCCAGUAGCCGCGGUAAUCUGAGCGGGCUGGCAAGGC
rnacentral:rRNA from 1 species